rnacentral:lncRNA from 10 species
AGACAUCAAGUGUCAUGCUUCAUUUUACAAAGCUGGAACAUGCUGGAGUCAGAACCCAACCAGGCAGUCUUGCUUCAGAGAAGAAAACCAGAAGAGAGACAGCAGCAAGAGCUGCAGGCGAGGCUGGGCAUGGAUUCCAGGGGAAGGAGAUGACAGUGGGAGGAAUGGCCAUCAUUCCAAAAGGGCUGGAUUGCACAGCAGGGCAGCAUCGCAAGAGUAGGAAGGGCUGUUCAACAAUGUGGCCUCCCCUGCAAGAGUCACACCUGUUAUUCAGCCUCUGCUUCAGCGUUCCAGAGAGGAGGCUCCCUGCUGCGGCAAAUCCCAAUGCUGGACAGCUCUGAGCAGAUGAUGGUUCUUCUUGGUGUUGGUUCUGAACCCUGCCCCUCUAUGUCCACCAGCCUUUCAUUCUAGAAGACACAACCGUCAACUCUGGGAAGACUCGGCAGGGGGCAUAUUUCUGAAAGUUCUAUUUCCACAGAUGGUGUGAAAUCAGCAAAGGAAAAUGCUGCUUCUGUCCAGACAGCUCUUCCACUCUUUAUUCUCACUCUAUGAGUCACUGGGUUGACUGUUGAUUUCGUUGCUGAACUGGGAUUCCUUAACUUGCGCAUUCAUUUAUUCAAU